UACGUAGGGCGCAAGCGUUGUCCGGAAUUAUUGGGCGUAAAGAGCUCGUAGGCGGUCUGUUACGUCUGCUGUGAAAACCCGGGGCUUAACCCCGGGCUUGCAGUGGAUACGGGCAGACUAGAGGCAGGUAGGGGAGAAUGGAAUUCCCGGUGUAGCGGUGAAAUGCGCAGAUAUCGGGAGGAACACCGGUGGCGAAGGCGGGUCUCUGGACAGUUCCUGACGCUGAGGCACGAAGGCCAGGGGAGCAAACGGG
rnacentral:rRNA from 1 species